CUGGGCUUCAGGAGAAAAAGAGAGAGAGAGACAUGAGUUGAUGCAAGUGUUCUCCUCCAAGUGGUAAGAUCUGACUUCACUUCUAGAACAACUCCCUCCGCCCUCUUCUCCCAUGCCCUCUCUUUUGCUUUGCUUCCUGCCCUUUUGUUUCCUUAUACAAUGAGCUCUGCUUUGGGGGAGUCUGGAUUAGUGUUGACCUGGGGUCAGUCUAGAGAAGACUUUUAGGGCAAUUUGUCUAAUUUGUAUUUUUGAAGCCUAGACUAUGUGAGAGUGGGGAAUAGAUAUACUAUGUAGGCCGUGGGAUAUAAUCACAUUGCACUUCUAGGCACAGAAAACAUGGCUAGCCCUAAAAGAACUCAGUACACAGACAGGAAGGGACAAGCCUACAAGGCCAUUUUAACUGUUGUGACUUACACUGAGAAUUUUCUCUCAAGGACUAUGGCUGAUGGGUCAAUGGUCUAUAAGAUGGCAUCAGAGGCCAGACAGUUCCUACUGGCAAUGUGUAUAGAUCUGAGCCCCAGAGACUCCAAGAUUCUGCCUCAGUUAUUCUUCUACCUUUGGAUUCGGAGAGCAGAAGAAAAUGUCAGAGACCUGCUCAUUCGCCAGAGCCACCUCAGGGUCACACAGGUGAGCCACGUGUGUGAAGCUGAUGGCCUCUUGCUGGAGAGAUUCCUCCUUGCAAAGCAAGUCAGGUAAUUUUAAAAUCUAAGUAGAGCCCAACAUAGUUGCAUCCAGCUUUCACCCCAACCCUUGGAUGCCAGAAGCAGGCCGUGGUCUAUAUAGCAAGUUUUAGGCCAGCCAGGUCUAUAAGGUAAGACCACGUCUCAAUGACAAACAUCUACCAACAGGGGUUGAGUUGGUGGCACACAUCUGUAAUUGCAGCUACUCAAGAAGCUGAGGUAGGAGGAUUGCAAACUCAAAGACUGUCUGGGAAACUUACUAAGACCCCUAUCUCAAAAUUAAUAAGUUCAGUCAUAGGAUGCUUGCCUGGCAUGCUUGAGGCUGUGGGCUCAAUCUCCAGUCCUAUUCAAAUCAAAUGAUAAAUCCCAAAGCAGGGCUAGAAGGAAAUGGUGGCCUGAAUCACAGGAAGACCCCAGGUGGCCUCUCACAAUGUGUUCCACACAGUGCACCCCUGCUGUCAUGCCUUUGACGCCAUCCCUGGCCACACCUCUACAUUUCUAGACUCUGCAACUGUAAGUCAUCCAGACAUCCCCAACCAGUUGCCCUCGCUUGUCCUCAGGAGCACCAGCCUGGCCCCAGCAGCAUUCUCCAGUUGUCACCCAUUUGAGUGUGCCCUGCCCCCAUGAUUCCUUGUCAUCUCCACAAUUAGGUAGAAGUCUCAUUAAAGACAGGAAUCUCACACAUGGGUAUCGUGUCAUCAUCGGUGGAGCACACUCAGGGUUUUAGGGAUGCAGGCUGGGGAUGGAUCUGGGGUCUGCCAUUUGCUUGUGUGCUAUGGAGUGAGCCCCUAGCACGUGAAACAUACUUAAUACUUGUUGGGUGGAUGAUAAAAGUUAAACUCCAGUUCCUCAAUGGGAAGGUGGAAACGAUAAUACCCUCCCUCCACAUAUAACGGCCUACACAGAAAGUGGAUCCUAGCAAGUGCUUGUAUUCCCAGGCCUGCUCAUGCAGGCCUAACAGUAAGGAUGUUGGUGGUAUGUGUGGAGUCCCAAGAAUGUUCUUUCUCCAAUACUCUUGUCUUUUCUGUCCAGUCCGGAUCUAGGUCUCCUUCUCAGUUCAGCCUACCGAGGGACCAGAACACCCUCUAGGACCCUCACCUAGUCCAGCUGGCUCACUGAGGCCAAAGGGACCACCCACCACGGGAAGCUGCCAAGGCUGAGUGAGGCCUGGGAAGGGAUUGGAUAGCUACCCCACCCCCAAGCCAUCCCUACUCUAGGGCUUGAUGAGAGCCAGCAUCAGCAUUGACCAGGAAGGGUCAGGAGCCCCAGAUCAAGACAGAAUGGCCUAGCGACCAGGACCAACGUGAACACACAAAGGAUUCUUGCAUAGGUUGGACAGCCUGGAGGCAGGGGCUGAACAAGAUGACCUCAAGAGGGCCUGGCCAGUGUCCUGGAAUCUUGGAUUCUGUGAUUCACAAAGAUAUGGUUACAUUGGAGAAAUACACAGAGGCUGGCGGCAGAGUUUAGAAGGCAUGCAUUUGCUACAUAGCAAGACCCUGUCUCAAAACUAAACAAGAAAAAUUAAAAAUAGAAAUCUUGCGUUG